rnacentral:lncRNA from 1 species
CUGCCGGCUCAGAUGACCGUCGCACAUAAGCAGAAGAAGUGGAGACCUACACGUAUCUGGGCAAGGUGGACGCAAAAACCUUCCUCCAACAGGCAAAGACAUCCUUCAUCACCCUGAAGAACAUCUGGAGACGGCACCUGAUAGAUCGCAAUGCGCACCAACAUCGGUCUGUUCAACUCAAACAUCCAGUCUGUCCGUCUGAACCAUGGAGAAGAACCAAAAUCACCCUCAACAGACUACAGACGUUCAUCCAUUCCUGUCUGAGAAUCCUCAAGAUCCACUAGCCAGAAGGUAGCAGCAACACAAAGCUCUGGCGGAGAACUAACUAUCCUGAGAGGUACGGAAGAAGCGGUUGGAUUGGUCCCAUCCUGAGGAAAGCAACACCUAUAUCAUCUGUCAGGCCCUGACCUGGAAUCACCAGGGGAGGAGAAAACGAGGAAGACCAAAGAACUCGUAGAGAAGGGACCUGGAGGCUGACGUCAAGCAGACCAGUCACACCUGGAGGGAGCUUGGCAGAAUCCCUCAGGACAGAAUGUGUUGGUGGGGAGCUGUUGAAAGUCUAUACCCAACCAGGGAUUCGAAGCCUCACUAGCUUAAGCAGUGUAAAUGCAACCUGCAUGUACCGACUGAGGCUCCAUUGAAAAAGAUUGGAUGCAAUCAGGAACUGCAUUUUCAUGUGGUCCAGGCUGUUAUGCAAACCCUCCUCCAUCCUCCCUUGCAUUCUACCCCCUGGGAAGCCUCAUCCCUUCCAUGGCCACCAUCAGGGGACUAAAGUCUGGUGAGUCUUCUCCUUACAACUCCACGCCUGAUUCCGAUCUUACCAGGUUGUGUUCCAGUCUAAUCGCCAAAAGACUUUAACUGUCAGAGUAUAUUCAUCCUGCAACAUUCUUUUAAUGUCACUAAUGUUUAUCUGAACACGUCUCCAUCUAGAAAUAAAAAAGUCACAUGCAUCGAUGAAGUACGUUCUGUGUUGCUGUGUUUGCGUAGAACAUGAUUUGAGCGUCAAACUCAAGUCGCCUCGGUUUUGAAACGUGUCAAAUUAGCUGCUAGAUCUUUGUCCAAAAGGGUCUAAAACUUGAUGAUACUGAUGCUGGUAAAAACGUCGCCAUGUCUGGGUUCAUGAGAUCAAACAGGGCCUUACAUUACUAACAAAGCGUUACACCGAGGAAGAACAACAUUUUUAUUAUUGUCUCAAUGCCAAUAUGAAAACUAUGACAUUUGUGAGGAGCACAAACGGCAACUC